rnacentral:lncRNA from 1 species
CUCUUUUCAAACUGAUGUCUUAAAUCUUGUUCACGCCAUUUUCAAUCCAGAGGAAGACCUUCUAAAAGAGGUGAUGGAUGGGAGAGUGCUGACAUACUAUGUGAAGCUACUAUUUGGAGUUGGACACGAGUGCAUGUGACCUUGUGCCACAGCGGGAAUCUUGACUACCACACAAAUGAAUCCAUUCAAAUGUUGGCAAGUGGAGCAGAGUCCCAGGACAGUCUGCAAUCUCUACAGGUACAGAAACACCCCCAGUUCAAGAAUCUUCACAUCUGAAUUUAGUCCUACACCUGCAACUACCCCAGUUUCAUUUCAACUUAGGUUUAAGGGGUUCUUGAUAAUCUGACAUGAUAAGUGGUGUUGGAAUUGGCAUUAAAAUCCACCAUGCUCUACAGCACUUCAUCCUUCUUCGGCAGGCACCAAUUUGAUCUUCUACUACUUUGCAGACAUCUCUUCUGCAAACACCAGACAAAUUGAGACAAUGACCUUCCGCAGGACCCAAACCACCUCUUACUGCAGGAAAGAAGAUCCAGUGAGAUAGUUAGUCCACAAAUGGAAUGUAAAUCCAU